rnacentral:rRNA from 1 species
AGUAUUUUGACUAUACAAAGGUAUUGAAAUAAGACUUUAAUUGAGUGCUAAGAGAAUGGAAUUUCAUAAAAUUUCUUUUUUAAUUUUAAAAAUUGAAAUUAAUUUUAUAUGUGAAGAAACAAUAAUAAAAAUUAAGGACAAGAAGACCCUAAGAAUUUUAAAAAUUUCAAUAAAAUACAGCAUUUUACUGAAAUUUUUUAAUUGGGGCGAUUAUUAAAUAUUAAAAACUUUAAUUUUUUUAAAAAAGAACCAAUAAUAUUGGUUAUUUGAAAAAAUACUCUAGGGAUAACAGCGUAAUAAUUUUUGAUAGUUCUUAUAGACAAAAUAGUUUGCGACCUCGAUGUUGGAUUAGGAUUCUUUUUUAAUGAAGAAGUUAAAAAAAGAAGUUUGUUCAACUUUUAAAAUCCU